rnacentral:rRNA from 1 species
CCUACGGGUGGCAGCAGUAGGGAAUCUUUCACAAUGGGCGAAAGCCUGAUGGAGCAACGCCGCGUGCAGGAUGAAGGCCUUCGGGUUGUAAACUGCUUUUAUAAGCGAGAAAUAUGAUGGUAACUUAUGAAUAAGGAUCGGCUAACUACGUGCCAGCAGCCGCGGUCAUACGUAGGAUCCGAGCAUUAUCCGGAGUGACUGGGUGUAAAGAGUUGCGUAGGUGGCAUAAUAAGUAGCUAGUGAAAUCUGGUGGCUCAACCAUUCAGACUAUUAGCUAAACUGUUAAGCUCGAGACCGUUAGGGGUAACUGGAAUUUCUAGUGUAGGAGUGAAAUCCGUAGAUAUUAGAAGGAACACCAAUAGCGUAGGCAGGUUGCUGGGACGGUUCUGACACUAAGGCUCGAAAGCGUGGGGAGCAAACAGGAUUAGAUACCCCAGUAGUC